rnacentral:sRNA from 1 species
UACAUCAUCCUCUCUUUCU